GACGAACGCUGGCGGCGUGCUUAACACAUGCAAGUCGAACGGAAAGGCCCUGCUUUUGUGGGGUGCUCGAGUGGCGAACGGGUGAGUAACACGUGAGUAACCUGCCCUUGACUUUGGGAUAACUUCAGGAAACUGGGGCUAAUACCGGAUAGGAGCUCCUGCUGCAUGGUGGGGGUUGGAAAGUUUCGGCGGUUGGGGAUGGACUCGCGGCUUAUCAGCUUGUUGGUGGGGUAGUGGCUUACCAAGGCUUUGACGGGUGGCCGGCCUGGGGGGGUGACCGGCCACAUUGGGACUGAGAUACGGCCCAGACUCCUACGGGAGGCAGCAGUGGGGAAUAUUGCACAAUGGGCGGAAGCCUGAUGCAGCAACGCCGCGUGCGGGAUGACGGCCUUCGGGUUGUAAACCGCUUUCGCCUGUGACGAAGCGUGAGUGACGGUAAUGGGUAAAGAAGCACCGGCUAACUACGUG
rnacentral:rRNA from 1 species